rnacentral:lncRNA from 1 species
AGCAUCCGAAUGGUUUAUGGAUCAAGACACAUCUCGCUGGUACGUCUGGGAUGACAUGGCACAGGCAUUUGUCAAACAGUUCCAAUACAACAUUGACAUUGCCUCAGACCGCAAUUCCCUUUCAAACCUGAAGAAGAAAUCAAGUGAAAGUUUCAGGGAAUAUGCCAUUAAAUGGAGAGAGCAAGCAGCUAGAGUUAAGCCACCCAUAGAUGACCACGAGCUAAUCAUUGUCUUUCUUCAGGCGCAAGAGCCAGAUUACUUUCAAAACAUGAUGUCCGCAGUUGGCAAAUCCUUCUCAGAAGCAAUGAAAAAUGGGAGAAAUUGUAGAGAAUGACCUUAAGACAGGCAAAAUUAUAACUCUAAGUAGCUCUCAAAGCUGCAACUCAGGCUGUCCAAAUUGAAUCUGGUGACACGAAUGAAACGGACGAAGAAAUCAUGAUGACAUCAGGGGCGAGAAGUGGUCCUCGGAGAACAUCUCGAAGAUAUGAACAACCUCGUCUGGCUUUCCAUGAUUUCCCUAAAUACUAUUAUCCACCUCAGAACCUCAAUACUGUGUUACUUCACCUCAGUAUGUUACCGACCACCAAGACAUCCCAGAAGGCGAGCACCAGCACCGCAAAAUCUCCACCAGCCUCCACAAACUUUUCAAGUGCCCUAUAACCCACAUCCAAGCCAGGGGUAUAGAAGGGAACAAAGGUUGAAAGAUAAUUUUACACCAAUAGGAGAGUCCUAUGCAAGCUUAUUUGAGAAGUUAAAGCAUUAUGACAUGAUUGCACCCAUUCCUCCAAAUCAUGUAGACCCACGUGCAAGAAGCUUUGACCCAUAUAAAAGGUGUGAAUACUAUUCCAAUGCCCAGGGGCACAAUGCUAAAAGUUGUCGGGAUUUGAAAAGAGAAAUAGAAAGGAUGAUUCAGGAAAAAACUAAUUGUGAUCCAAGACAAUGACACCUAGAAUAUCACGCAGAAUCUUUUACCUGCACAUGAUGAUGCACACUUUGUGGGAUGAUGUCUGGUGACAUGGAGAAUGAGAAUCCACUCGGGAACUUGCCGACUGAAAUUGGAGAAGGCCAUAGUAAUUCUGAUGAGCAAAUUUGUGGCUAAAUAUCAAGGUUAGCAAUUGAAAAGUCAUUCCCUCCUUACUAGCAAGGAAUCUUGGUGGUUUGUUUUGAUUUUUUUUCUAUUAUCUGGGUUAUUUCAGGGUUGUGAUCCAGAUUUUAUUUGUUUUAUUGAGUCAAAUCCUUCUAUCCCUCCAUUCUGUCUGUGCGAGUCCUGUCCGUUUGCUCUGUUGCUAUUUUCAUCAUCCGGGUUAUUUUAGGAUUCUAACUCGGAUUUUAGGUUGUUUGUCUUGUUAUUUACUCAAUAAAAUGCAGUUUGUCCUUUUGUAUCGUUCCAUGCUUAGUUCUUUUACCGCUAGUUUUAGUGACAUGACAUGCAUGCGGAAUUUUUGGCCAGAUCUUAGAAAAUUGAUUUAAGCUUGUAUUGGAUAACUGAGAAAAAGACACUUUUGAGGAUGAAAAAGAGUUGAAAUACUUUGGAAUUAAGGUCGAGUAGAAUUCACCUUCAAAUCAAUGUGAAGAUCGGGCUUGAGGGUAUUGAAUCAAUUGAAGCUUGGUUGAAAGUUUGACAUUAAUGGAUGGAGAGUAUCUUUCGACCACGACACACCAAGAAGAUAAACAUGUUCAUCAAUGUUGUGAUUGCAGAAGGAUACUAAUUUUGGCGUUCUCGAGGUCGGGAGGCCCUUUUUCUGCUAUCCAAAAAUGUUAUAUCCUUCGUUACCCCUUUUGAGCCUGUGUUAUUUUCUUUGACCACCCUCUUUUGGAAUCUAGUUUAGAGUCAAGAGUCCAAAAAAAAGGAAAAAAGGAAAAAUGAUAAAAAAAGAAAAGAAAAGAAAAGAAAAGUCCAUGUCCCAAGAGUACAAACUGGAGCAAUUCUUAGAAAGUUCAAGAAAAAAAAUGAAAAAGAAAAGAACUGUCAAAGGUCCAUGCCCCUAGAAAAUAGAAGCUGGGGCAACUUGUUUUGAAAACAAAAAUAAAAAAAGAGAUAAAAAAAGAGGAGAGAUACAGAAAAAAAGAUGAUUUUUUUAGUUAGGUCAGAAGUUUGAACUACGUUCGACCUGAUUCCUUAAAAAAAGAUACGUAUGUGUCAUACCUUCUUUUUACCUAUCCCCAGAAGGGUUUAAGGGAGUUUUUUCCAACUUAAAGUGACAAUCGAAACGAGAUUAUUUAUUUAUAAAUUCAGAGUCGCCACUUGGGAUAAUUUAUGGUGUCCCAAGUCACCAGUUUAAAAUCCCGAAUGAGGAAAGAUUGACUCUGUUUUCAGUCCUCGAACACAGAAAUUCGGGUAAGGAAUUUUGUUAAUCCGGGAGAAUGUAUUAGACAUUCCCGGGUUCCGUGGUUUUAGCACGGUCGCUCAACUGUUAUUAUUGGCCUAUUUAUUUAAUUAAUCACAUCUUUUAAACCUACGUGCAUUUUUAAACCUUUUAAGCCGCUUUUAAAAAUCCAAUUAUUAUACAGCUAAUUAUUGAUUAUACAUGGCAAAUCAUGUCACGAGAACCGUACCCACGAUCCACAACAUGUUUAUUUUAAUUAACAAAAAUAUUGUGGUUGGGUCACAUAAAUGUACACCCGGUUUUAUUACAAAUUAAGUGUCAUGACCACGUCACAGGAACCGUACCCGUAGCUAUGACAAUUAUUUAAUUAACGCGCCUAAAGCAAACUACGAAAGUUUAAGGCAUUUUUUUAUACUAGUUUUUGUAUUUAUGUGAGGGCCAUACAUUAUGGAUUUUGUUUGCGUAUGACACACCUCAAUUAUUUUAAAAGAAAAGAAUUAUUUCACUAAGGUAAACUAAAGAUACUCCUACUUUAAUCUAAUUUAAAAUUAUAUAUCACGACCAUGUCACGAGAACCGUACCCGUAGUCAUGAUGAUGAUUUAUUUUCAUGCCUAAAGGUUCGCCUACCCGGAUGUGGUGGCCUAAGUAUGCUCUUAUGACCAAUUAAGAGAAUAAAAGUUAUAAAUUCCAAUGUUCUUUCAUUUAACGACAAAGCUCGUGCCCACAUAUUAUUAAAAGUUUUGCUAAACCAAUACAACCCAUUCAACUGAAGCGAAGCAUCCAAUCCUAGUAGACCAAACGGAAUGAAAUGAUUAUAAGAAAUCAAACCCCGGUUGACCCAGUGUAUUAAUUCAAACGAAUUUCAUCCAAGCAAAUGUAUGGUUUUUGGAAAUUUCAAUAGAGAGAUAGGAACAAAACUUAUUAAAAUUCAAUCCAUUUUAAUCAUAGAAAUUCGCAUCGUCAUAAUCAAACCAACAAGGGAAAGCUAACUACUACAGAUUAAUACACAUAAUUAUGAAGUAUGCAUUCAUUUCACAUUCUAACUUGAAUAAAGACGAGCAACAAAGCACUGUGCUUAAGGCUUUCACAUAUCCUUUUCAUGCUAAAAUCAUAUCAAAAAUAGAAUAAUAGGGAAUUGACAAUGAACCUGGACUGAACUUCUUCUUAGUAACAGUAGAGGAAUGAGCAUAUACAAUGUUUUUCUCCCAAAUUUAAACUGAGAACAACGCAAUCGAGUAGAAACGUGAGCCAAACCACGAACCUCAGACGGAAACUCGAAUCAGUAUCGGAACGAAAUCAAUCGAACCCUGUCGAUUCCAUGGAAGAAACGGGAGUGGCGACGAAAGGGGGGCUGCUAUGGUGGUGGAAGAGCUCGGAGACAGUGAGGCACGGCUGGGUUAUCUGAGGGGGGUUGGUUUCCGGUGAAGCAACGACUGCAGGUGUGGGCUUCGCCGGAGAUGAGGAAAGGGGGGGUCGUUUGGAGAAGACGAAGUCAGAGGGUGGGGUCGUUUAUGGCUGCGGUGGAUCU